UACGUAGGGGGCAAGCGUUGUCCGGAAUUAUUGGGCGUAAAGCGCGCGCAGGCGGCCUUGUAAGUCUGUUGUUUAAACUUGGGGCUCAACCCCAAGUCGCAAUGGAAACUGCAAAGCUUGAGUGCAGAAGAGGAAAGUGGAAUUCCACGUGUAGCGGUGAAAUGCGUAGAUAUCGAGAGGAACACCAGUGGCGAAGGCGAGUCCCUGGACAACUUCUGACGCUGAGGCACGAAAGCUAGGGGAGCAAACAGG
rnacentral:rRNA from 1 species